AUGAACGCUGGCGGCGUGCCUAAUACAUGCAAGUCGAGCGAACAGACGAGGAGCUUGCUCCUCUGACGUUAGCGGCGGACGGGUGAGUAACACGUGGAUAACCUACCUAUAAGACUGGGAUAACGUCGGGAAACCGGAGCUAAUACCGGAGAAUAUAUUGAACCGCAUGGUUCAAUAGUGAAAGACGGUUUUGCUGUCACUUAUAGAUGGAUCCGCGCCGCAUUAGCUAGUUGGUAAGGUAACGGCUUACCAAGGCAACGAUGCGUAGCCGACCUGAGAGGGUGAUCGGCCACACUGGAACUGAGACACGGUCCAGACUCCUACGGGAGGCAGCAGUAGGGAAUCUUCCGCAAUGGGCGAAAGCCUGACGGAGCAACGCCGCGUGAGUGAUGAAGGUCUUCGGAUCGUAAAACUCUGUUAUUAGGGAAGAACAAAUGUGUAAGUAACUAUGCACGUCUUGACGGUACCUAAUCAGAAAGCCACGGCUAACUACGUG
rnacentral:rRNA from 1 species